UACAGAGGGGGCAAGCGUUGUUCGGAAUUACUGGGCGUAAAGGGCGCGUAGGCGGCCUGUUAAGUCGAACGUGAAAUCCCCGGGCUCAACCCGGGAACUGCGUCCGAUACUGGCAGGCUUGAAUUCGGGAGAGGGAUGUGGAAUUCCAGGUGUAGCGGUGAAAUGCGUAGAUAUCUGGAGGAACACCGGUGACGAAGGCGGCAUCCUGGGCCGAUAUUGACGCUGAUGCGCGAAAGCCAGGGGAGCAAACGGG
rnacentral:rRNA from 1 species